rnacentral:piRNA from 1 species
AGUCUUAGUGCCAGGCACCUCUG